rnacentral:rRNA from 1 species
UACGUAGGGCGCAAGCGUUGUCCGGAAUUAUUGGGCGUAAAGAGCUCGUAGGCGGUUUGUCGCGUCUGCUGUGAAAACCUAAGGCUCAACCUUGGGCUUGCAGUGGGUACGGGCAGGCUAGAGUGCGGUAGGGGUGACUGGAAUUCCUGGUGUAGCGGUGGAAUGCGCAGAUAUCAGGAGGAACACCGAUGGCGAAGGCAGGUCACUGGGCCGCAACUGACGCUGAGGAGCGAAAGCAUGGGGAGCGAACAGG